rnacentral:rRNA from 1 species
UACGGAGGGUGCAAGCGUUAUCCGGAUUCACUGGGUUUAAAGGGUGCGUAGGUGGGUUGGUAAGUCAGUGGUGAAAUCUCCGAGCUUAACUUGGAAACUGCCAUUGAUACUAUCAAUCUUGAAUAUUGUGGAGGUCAGCGGAAUAUGUCAUGUAGCGGUGAAAUGCUUAGAGAUGACAUAGAACACCAAUUGCGAAGGCAGCUGGCUACACAUAUAUUGACACUGAAGCACGAAAGCGUGGGGAUCAAACAGG